UACCCGCUGAGUUUAAGCAUAUCAAUAAG
rnacentral:rRNA from 1 species